rnacentral:rRNA from 1 species
UGCCUAACACAUGCAAGUCGAGCGAAGCACUUUUACUUCGAUUCCGUUUCGGGAUGAAGAGUGAUUUGACUGAGCGGCGGGACGGGUGAGUAACGCGUGGGUAACCUGCCUCACACGAGGGGGAUAACAGUUAGAAAUGACUGCUAAUACCGCAUAACGACCACAGCACCGCAUGGGUGCAGGGGGUAAAAACUCCGGUGGUGUGAGAUGGACCCGCGUCUGAUUAGCUAGUUGGUAAGGUAACGGCUUACCAAGGCGACGAUCAGUAGCCGACCUGAGAGGGUGACCGGCCACAUUGGGACUGAGACACGGCCCAAACUCCUACGGGAGGCAGCAGUGGGGAAUAUUGCACAAUGGGGGAAACCCUGAUGCAGCGACGCCGCGUGAGCGAAGAAGUAUUUCGGUAUGUAAAGCUCUAUCAGCAGGGAAGAAACUGACGGUACCUGACUAAGAAGCACCGGCUAAAUACGUGCCAGCAGCCGCGGUAA